ensembl:lincRNA 4930509K18Rik RIKEN cDNA 4930509K18 gene
GGCCCCUCAAAGCCCAUUAACUUCUCCACAGAGGCUCCAUCCCCCUCAAGGCUUGCUUAGCUUUAGAGGGCUAGUCUUUGCUCAUUAUAGUAGGGAGCAGACAAUCAUGAUGCUGGAGCCGUAGUUAAAAGCUUUACAUCCUGAUUCACAGGGGGCAGACAGAGAGACACUGGACCUGAUGUGACUUUUGAAACCUUAGAGCCCACCCCCAGAGUCCCACCUUCUCCAACAAGACCACACUUCCUAAUAUUUCCCAAACAGUUCUACUAACUGGGGGCUAAGUGUUUAAACAUAUGAGCACAUGGGAGCCAUUUUCAUUCAAACCACCACCGUCCCCAGUUGAGAAUCAUGGGAGUUACACUGUGCUUGCUCUGAGUUUACCUCUAGGAGGACUGGCAGUUUUUCCAUUAGGUUCUUGGAGCUCUAAGAGGCCACAGAGAGAAGCUCUAGGACUCCACGGAGAGGUACUGGGCCACCUGUCGUCAUUCUUUCUUCUAGCCAUCAUGUCACCAAGCUGGUGUGAAGGCCCUGUGGAUCCUCCAGGCCACCUCAUGAACCUGUUCACCAGACAUCACACCGAGAACAGCCAUCCAGUUGAAUCCUGCCCAAAUGCUUUACCCAUGAAAUAAAUUUCACGAGGUUCACACAUAUCUCAAACCUCAUCGGAGAAAUUUCUAUUUGCAGUAGACAGUGAUCAACACAGAUACUUGCAAAUGGUCAAGGAGAAUCCAAGAAGGGCAUGAUGGUCUGGAUGCGAAGAUGCUUCCCUUCGUGUCUAUAAAACAGAGAAGACCGUCAGUGCUCAGAAGUCAGGACUGCUGCUGUGUCCCUCAGUGACCCACUUAGAGGAGAUACCUGGACAACGUCAGCCACCCUGAUCAGAGCAUUCAUCCUCUGGUCCUGAGAUCCUCUCCUGCUUCCCCCGAGUCUUUCUCUGUGAACUUGUCUUUCUCUUUUCACGUUCUACUUUCAUAAAGGAAUAAAGAUAGAAUAUUUAAAUUUAAAAAAAAAUCCCACAAAGAUAUAGUAUUUAAAAGGAGCACUCAGCCUAACUCAAGUUCCAUUUUUGGGUCUGAGUGACAAGAGCCCCCGUUUGCCUGGCUUGUCCUCUCUCUGUAUAUGUUGCUUCCUCUUGGGACCACACAGGAGCAGUGACUUUGUAGCAACUAGAAUUUAUAUGGUAAGGAUCCAGUGUCCAAGACAUUUGCCUCUCAAAUUAUAAAUAUCUUUCUACAUUCAAAGAGCUGUGUUUAUGGAAAUAAUAUCUAUGGUUAAGCUUCAUAAACAUCAAUUUCAUAAUGCUUAGGAAACCCUGGCAUUAACAGUAUAUACAGUAUAUAUGAAGGUCCCUUCCUUCGCCAGCAGUUGAAUCUACAGUAUGCUGUUAACCCAAGUCUUCACUGACCUACGUCUGGCUUCUUGGUUUGGUUUCUCCUUGGGAGGGCACCAGCUCACGGGUGUCUUUUACCGCUAUGUCUUAUGAGCUUGUUUCUUUGUGUUAUUCAUUAAAUAGUGAUGAGACUAUCACUACUAUUAAGUAGGGAGACACUAGGCAUAGCCAAGACAUUGCCAUGCCCUAGAAGUCUCUAGAUUUCCAAGUAUGUCAAUAUCUUCUCCAAAUCUUUCUUCCUACGAAUGAGCAUGUUGCCAUGGUAACAGCUGAGUAUUGGUGUUAAUAAGAAGUCUUGCAAGGAGGAAAAUUCUUUUAAUGUAAAGGUAGCACUGUGACUUAUUUAUUUAAAUCAAUUAUUCAUUCCCUUAUUAAAUGAGUUUUCAAGCUGC